rnacentral:rRNA from 1 species
GACGAACGCUGGCGGCGUGCUUAACACAUGCAAGUCGAACGAAGAGCGAUGGAAGCUUGCUUCUAUCAAUCUUAGUGGCGAACGGGUGAGUAACGCGUAAUCAACCUGCCCUUCAGAGGGGGACAACAGUUGGAAACGACUGCUAAUACCGCAUACGAUCUAAUCUCGGCAUCGAGGAUAGAUGAAAGGUGGCCUCUACAUGUAAGCUAUCACUGAAGGAGGGGAUUGCGUCUGAUUAGCUAGUUGGAGGGGUAACGGCCCACCAAGGCGAUGAUCAGUAGCCGGUCUGAGAGGAUGAACGGCCAUAUUGGGACUGAGACACGGCCCAGACUCCUACGGGAGGCAGCAGUGGGGAAUCUUCCGCAAUGGACGAAAGUCUGACGGAGCAACGCCGCGUGAGUGAUGACGGCCUUCGGGUUGUAAAGCUCUGUUAAUCGGGACGAAAGGCCUUCUUGCGAAUAGUGAGAAGGAUUGACGGUACCGGAAUAGAAAGCCACGGCUAACUACGUG